rnacentral:lncRNA from 1 species
AAGAAGCGCCAUUGCCCUUCCUUCCUUAUCCUCUAUUCUUUUGGUUAAUAAAUAAGUUCAUUGGGACUUGUUGAAUAAGAAGCUCCUAAUGGCCAUUUCUUUUAAGUGAUACUCAGUUUGAAGUUCCCCAUCACCUCUUUUGGGACUAAUUCCUCAGUCAAAUCAUUCUCCCAAAACCAUCUCUCUAUAAUUUCUCACAUUCUCUAGAUUUAAUUCUACCACGCAUUUGAAGGAGAGUGUGUUGCAAUCUACUUGAUUGGUUUUUGCCAUGUUUGUUUGGUUGACAUAGUUGUUCGCUGUUAUGCACAAUUGUAUCGCUAGAAACCUUGCUGUCCUGAUAUCAUAAGAGGUUUUGCAUUUGCUUAAAUGCUAGAUGCAGUGGCGAGGUUGACUAGGUGGUGACGGUAAGGUUCAUUUAGGCUCAUGUGUUAUUUUAGGGUUUUGCUUAUUUUAGGGUUAUGGACUUUAUUUGAGAUUAUACUUAAUUGUAGUGAUGUGGGGCUAAUAGUUGUUGAUGUGUCUCCUUUGGUUUGGCUUUUUAGCGUG